UCUCAGAUGAUACCACGUUGGUUGUUCCUA
rnacentral:piRNA from 1 species